rnacentral:rRNA from 1 species
UACGAAGGGGACUAGCGUUGUUCGGAUUUACUGGGCGUAAAGCGCGCGUAGGCGGAUCGCUAAGUCAGAGGUGAAAUCCCAGGGCUCAACCCUGGAACUGCCUUUGAUACUGACGAUCUGGAGAUCGGGAGAGGUUGGUGGAAUUCCGAGUGUAGAGGUGAAAUUCGUAGAUAUUCGGAGGAACACCAGAAGCGAAGGCGGCCAACUGGCCCGAUACUGACGCUGAGGCGCGAAAGCGUGGGGAGCAAACAGG